UACGUAGGUGGCAAGCGUUGUCCGGAAUCAUUGGGCGUAAAGCGCACGUAGGCGGACUGCUAAGUCGGACGUGAAAUCCCUCAGCUUAACUGAGGAAGUGCAUUCGAAACUGACAGUCUUGAGUACAGGAGAGGGUCGCGGAAUUCCCGGUGUAGAGGUGAAAUUCGUAGAUAUCGGGAGGAACACCAGUGGCGAAGGCGGCGGCCUGGACUGAUACUGACGCUGAGGUGCGAAAGCGUGGGGAGCAAACAGG
rnacentral:rRNA from 1 species